GCAGAGGGAAAGCUCCGGAGUGCACUCAGCUCAGGAGGACAAAAGAGGGCAUACAUCCCAGCUCAGUGCGGGGCUGGGAAACGGUUCCAACAUCCCCCUGGGCGGCAGGCACGGGGGUGGCGGUAGGCAGUGGGGCAGUGAGAGUUUUCAGUUUCUCGAGUUAGAAAGACCAGACCAGAGGGUAGGGCCCAUCUGCAUGGGACUAGCUUGCUCUCCAGAAAAACAGGACCAUGUUUUAAUGAGCACAUCCAAGCACCUGCCAGGGCCCCUGUUUCCUCUGCCCCCUGACAGGACCGGGUUUUAUGACUCUCACUGAAUUUGCCUUAGUUUAUUAGGCAUGUAAGGGUCGCCUCUGGCUGUGUAAUUAACAUUUCUUUCCUUGCAAGGGAGAGCCUCUACUUUCCCAGCAACCGCCUGCUGCGCACGCACCUGGGGGGGUGGGCUGUCCCUCCACUGUGGACACGGGUCAAGCUGGUGCCAGGACCCAGCAUUGCCAUGGUGAGCAAGAGUGUGUGGCUACUGCCACCCCAUCGCCACCCCACGUGGUUCCCGUCCCAUGGCUACUCUGUGGUUCCUGUUCUGUGUCUGUUCCCUUGACAUUUAUGGCAGAAAAUGUCAUCGCACAAAUGUGUAUUGUUUUCAUCGGCCCUCCUUUGUCUUCUUGCUGACAACAUUCCCUGUUCCUUCAACACUCGGACUCCUUUCCCAGCGGAAGCGCUGGCUCCUUCUCCUCGGGACCGUCCCUGGCCUCUCCAGUCCCACCUGCACAAAGGGAGAUGGAAGAAGAGGACUCAGACGCCUCUCCAGUCCUGGGAAGAAUUCCAACGUAAAUAUUACCAGUGAUGGAAAUCUGAGGGAAGGCGAGGAGGAUGAAAGACGAAUUGAGGCCCCAAAGAGUGUCCAGUUCCUCCUUAACUGCAGAGCCAUGGAAAAUUCUUUGUUCCCAACUGCUGGCUUCUUGCCUCCAGGAUCUGGGUGGGUAUUGCCCCUUGGUCCACUUCCUGGUCAGGUCACAGACAGUUUGUCGGUGGGGGGAGUGUCCUGGGGAACAGAGGGCAGAACCAGGCUGGGUCCUUGGAAGUGGAUGCAAGGUGCCCUGAGCAUCUAUCUGCCCCCCAGGAAGCCCAAGCUGGUCUCUGUAGGUUCACUAACUCACUUAGCGCUCAGAACGACUAAGCUGCCCAUCUUACAGCUGAGAAAACCGGCACUCAGAGAGGUAAAGCCGCUUGUCUAA
rnacentral:lncRNA from 1 species